rnacentral:rRNA from 1 species
AUUGAACGCUGGCGGCAGGCCUAACACAUGCAAGUCGAGCGGCAGCGGGAAAGUAGCUUGCUACUUUUGCCGGCGAGCGGCGGACGGGUGAGUAAUGCCUGGGAAAUUGCCCAGUCGAGGGGGAUAACAGUUGGAAACGACUGCUAAUACCACAUACGCCCUACGGGGGAAAGCAGGGGACCUUCGGGCCUUGCGCGAUUGGAUAUGCCCAGGUGGGAUUAGCUAGUUGGUGAGGUAAUGGCUCACCAAGGCGACGAUCCCUAGCUGGUCUGGGAGGAUGAUCAGCCACACUGGAACUGAGACACGGUCCAGACUCCUACGGGAGGCAGCAGUGGGGAAUAUUGCACAAUGGGGGAAACCCUGAUGCAGCCAUGCCGCGUGUGUGAAGAAGGCCUUCGGGUUGUAAAGCACUUUCAGCGAGGAGGAAAGGUUGAUGCCUAAUACGUAUCAACUGUGACGUUACUCGCAGAAGAAGCACCGGCUAACUCCGUGCCAGCCGCCGCAGUAAUAC